UCCGAGUUGACCCCGGCAGUCUCCUAUGAGUCCCCACCAUUACGUUCUGGCAACAUAGAACGAGGGUUGCGCUCGUUGCGGGACUUAACCCAACAUCUCACGACACGAGCUGACGACAACCAUGCACCACCUGUGAACCAGCCCCAAAGGGGAAACCAUAUUUCUAUGGCGAUCUAGCACAUGUCAAGCCUUGGUAAGGUUCUUCGCGUUGCAUCGAAUUAAUCCGCAUGCUCCGCCGCUUGUGCGGGCCCCCGUCAAUUCCUUUGAGUUUUAGCCUUGCGGCCGUAGUCCCCAGGCGGGGUGCUUAUUGCGUUAGCGACGGCACCGGAGGGGUCGAUACCCCCGACACCUAGCACCCAUCGUUUACAGCGUGGACUAC
rnacentral:misc_RNA from 1 species